GACGAACGCUGGCGGCGUGCCUAAUACAUGCAAGUCGAACGCAGUGGGGACGGGUGAGUAACACGUGGGUAACCUCCCAUCAGAGGGGAUAACACUUGGAAACAGGUGCUAAACCGAUACUGAUGGAUGAACCCGCGGGGCAUUAGCUAGUUGGGGAGGUAACGGCUCACCAAGGCCACGAUCCAUAGCCGGUCUGAGAGGGUGACCGGCCACACUGGGACUGAGACACGGCCCAGACUCCUACGGGAGGCAGCAGUAGGGAAUCUUCCGCAAUGGGCGCAACUCUGACCGAGCAAUGCCGCGUGAGUGAAGAAGGUUUUCGGAUCGUAAAGCUCUGUUGUUAGAGAAGCGGUAUCUAACCAGAAAGCCACGGCUAACUACGUGCCAGCAGCCGCGGUAAUUC
rnacentral:rRNA from 1 species